rnacentral:rRNA from 1 species
GGUUAAGCGACCAAGCGUACACGGUGGAUGCCCUGGCAGUCAGAGGCGAUGAAGGACGUGCUAAUCUGCGAUAAGCGCCGGUAAGGUGAUAUGAACCGUUAUAACCGGCGAUUUCCGAAUGGGGAAACCCAGUGUGACUCGUCACACUAUCAUUAACUGAAUCCAUAGGUUAAUGAGGCGAACCGGGGGAACUGAAACAUCUAAGUACCCCGAGGAAAAGAAAUCAACCGAGAUUCCCCCAGUAGCGGCGAGCGAACGGGGAGGAGCCCAGAGCCUGAAUCAGCAUGUGUGUUAGUGGAAGCGUCUGGAAAGGCGCGCGAUACAGGGUGACAGCCCCGUACACAAAAGCGCAUGUGCUGUGAGCUCGAUGAGUAGGGCGGGACACGUGGUAUCCUGUCUGAAUAUGGGGGGACCAUCCUCCAAGGCUAAAUACUCCUGACUGACCGAUAGUGAACCAGUACCGUGAGGGAAAGGCGAAAAGAACCCCGGCGAGGGGAGUGAAACAGAACCUGAAACCGUGUACGUACAAGCAGUGGGAGCACAGGUUUACCUGUGUGACUGCGUACCUUUUGUAUAAUGGGUCAGCGACUUAUAUUCUGUAGCAAGGUUAACCGUAUAGGGGAGCCGAAGGGAAACCGAGUCUUAAUUGGGCGUUAAGUUGCAGGGUAUAGACCCGAAACCCGGUGAUCUAGCCAUGGGCAGGUUGAAGGUUGGGUAACACUAACUGGAGGACCGAACCGACUAAUGUUGAAAAAUUAGCGGAUGACCUGUGGCUGGGGGUGAAAGGCCAAUCAAACCGGGAGAUAGCUGGUUCUCCCCGAAAGCUAUUUAGGUAGCGCCUCGUGAAUUCAUCUCCGGGGGUAGAGCACUGUUUCGGCUAGGGGGCCAUCCCGGCUUACCAACCCGAUGCAAACUGCGAAUACCGGAGAAUGUUAUCACGGGAGACACACGGCGGGUGCUAACGUCCGUCGUGAAGAGGGAAACAACCCAGACCGCCAGCUAAGGUCCCAAAGUCAUGGUUAAGUGGGAAACGAUGUGGGAAGGCCCAGACAGCCAGGAUGUUGGCUUAGAAGCAGCCAUCAUUUAAAGAAAGCGUAAUAGCUCACUGGUCGAGUCGGCCUGCGCGGAAGAUGUAACGGGGCUAAACCAUGCACCGAAGCUGCGGCAGCGACGCUUAUGCGUUGUUGGGUAGGGGAGCGUUCUGUAAGCCUGUGAAGGUGGCCUGUGAGGGUUGCUGGAGGUAUCAGAAGUGCGAAUGCUGACAUAAGUAACGAUAAAGCGGGUGAAAAGCCCGCUCGCCGGAAGACCAAGGGUUCCUGUCCAACGUUAAUCGGGGCAGGGUGAGUCGACCCCUAAGGCGAGGCCGAAAGGCGUAGUCGAUGGGAAACGGGUUAAUAUUCCCGUACUUGGUGUUACUGCGAAGGGGGGACGGAGAAGGCUAUGUUGGCCGGGCGACGGUUGUCCCGGUUUAAGCGUGUAGGUGUGUGUUCCAGGUAAAUCCGGUUCACUUUAACACUGAGGCGUGACGACGAGGCACCACGGUGCUGAAGCAACAAAUGCCCUGCUUCCAGGAAAAGCCUCUAAGCAUCAGGUAACAUCAAAUCGUACCCCAAACCGACACAGGUGGUCAGGUAGAGAAUACCAAGGCGCUUGAGAGAACUCGGGUGAAGGAACUAGGCAAAAUGGUGCCGUAACUUCGGGAGAAGGCACGCUGACACGUAGGUGAAGUGAUUUACUCACGGAGCUGAAGUCAGUCGAAGAUACCAGCUGGCUGCAACUGUUUAUUAAAAACACAGCACUGUGCAAACACGAAAGUGGACGUAUACGGUGUGACGCCUGCCCGGUGCCGGAAGGUUAAUUGAUGGGGUCAGCGCAAGCGAAGCUCCUGAUCGAAGCCCCGGUAAACGGCGGCCGUAACUAUAACGGUCCUAAGGUAGCGAAAUUCCUUGUCGGGUAAGUUCCGACCUGCACGAAUGGCGUAAUGAUGGCCAGGCUGUCUCCACCCGAGACUCAGUGAAAUUGAACUCGCUGUGAAGAUGCAGUGUACCCGCGGCAAGACGGAAAGACCCCGUGAACCUUUACUAUAGCUUGACACUGAACAUUGAGCCUUGAUGUGUAGGAUAGGUGGGAGGCUUUGAAGCGUGGACGCCAGUCUGCGUGGAGCCAACCUUGAAAUACCACCCUUUAAUGUUUGAUGUUCUAACGUGGACCCGUGAUCCGGGUUGCGGACAGUGUCUGGUGGGUAGUUUGACUGGGGCGGUCUCCUCCUAAAGAGUAACGGAGGAGCACGAAGGUUGGCUAAUCCUGGUCGGACAUCAGGAGGUUAGUGCAAUGGCAUAAGCCAGCUUGACUGCGAGCGUGACGGCGCGAGCAGGUGCGAAAGCAGGUCAUAGUGAUCCGGUGGUUCUGAAUGGAAGGGCCAUCGCUCAACGGAUAAAAGGUACUCCGGGGAUAACAGGCUGAUACCGCCCAAGAGUUCAUAUCGACGGCGGUGUUUGGCACCUCGAUGUCGGCUCAUCACAUCCUGGGGCUGAAGUAGGUCCCAAGGGUAUGGCUGUUCGCCAUUUAAAGUGGUACGCGAGCUGGGUUUAGAACGUCGUGAGACAGUUCGGUCCCUAUCUGCCGUGGGCGCUGGAGAACUGAGGGGGGCUGCUCCUAGUACGAGAGGACCGGAGUGGACGCAUCACUGGUGUUCGGGUUGUCAUGCCAAUGGCACUGCCCGGUAGCUAAAUGCGGAAGAGAUAAGUGCUGAAAGCAUCUAAGCACGAAACUUGCCCCGAGAUAAGUUCUCCCUGAGACUUUAAGUCUCCUGAAGGAACGUUGAAGACGACGACGUUGAUAGGCCGGGUGUGUAAGCGCAGCGAUGCGUUGAGCUAACCGGUACUAAUGAACCGUGAGGCUUAACCUU